GAGGGUAUAGCUCAGUGGCAGAGUGCCUGCUUAGCAUGCCAAAGGUCCUGGGUUCAAUCCUCAGUACCACCA
rnacentral:tRNA from 1 species